rnacentral:rRNA from 1 species
GAUGAACGCUGGCGGCGUGCCUAAUACAUGCAAGUCGAGCGAACGGACGAGAAGCUUGCUUCUCUGAUGUUAGCGGCGGACGGGUGAGUAACACGUGGAUAACCUACCUAUAAGACUGGGAUAACUUCGGGAAACCGGAUCUAAUACCGGAUGAUAUUUUGAACCGCAUGGUUCAAAAGUGAAAGACGGUCUUGCUGUCACUUAUAGAUGGAUCCGCGCUGCAUUAGCUAGUUGGAAGGUAACGGCUUACCAAGGCAACGAUGCAUAGCCGACCUGAGAGGGUGAUCGGCCACACUGGAACUGAGACACGGUCCAGACUCCUACGGGAGGCAGCAGUAGGGAAUCUUCCGCAAUGGGCGAAAGCCUGACGGAGCAACGCCGCGUGAGUGAUGAAGGUCUUCGGAUCGUAAAACUCUGUUAUUAGGGAAGAACAUAUGUGUAAGUAACUGUGCACAUCUUGACGGUACCUAAUCAGAAAGCCACGGCUAACUACGUG